AUUGAACGCUGGCGGCAUGCCUUACACAUGCAAGUCGAACGGCAGCAUGGAGAGCUUGCUCUCUGAUGGCGAGUGGCGAACGGGUGAGUAAUGCAUCGGAACGUACCGUGUAAUGGGGGAUAACGUAGCGAAAGUUACGCUAAUACCGCAUACGACCUGAGGGUGAAAGCAGGGGAUCGCAAGACCUUUCGUUAUACGAGCGGCCGAUGUCAGAUUAGCUAGUUGGCGAGGUAAAGGCUCACCAAGGCGACGAUCUGUAGCGGGUCUGAGAGGAUGAUCCGCCACACUGGGACUGAGACACGGCCCAGACUCCUACGGGAGGCAGCAGUGGGGAAUUUUGGACAAUGGGGGCAACCCUGAUCCAGCCAUGCCGCGUGAGUGAAGAAGGCCUUCGGGUUGUAAAGCUCUUUCGGCCGGGAAGAAAUCGCACAGGCUAAUACUCUGUGUGGAUGACGGUACCGGCAUAAGAAGCACCGGCUAACUACGUGCCAGCAGCCGCCGUAA
rnacentral:rRNA from 1 species